rnacentral:rRNA from 1 species
UACGAAGGGGGCUAGCGUUGCUCGGAAUCACUGGGCGUAAAGGGUGCGUAGGCGGGUCUUUAAGUCAGGGGUGAAAUCCUGGAAGCUCAACUCCAGAACUGCCUUUGAUACUGGAAAGCUCGAGUCCGGGAGAGGUGAGUGGAACUGCGAGUGUAGAGGUGAAAUUCGUAGAUAUUCGCAAGAACACCAGUGGCGAAGGCGGCUCACUGGCUCGAUACUGACACUGAGGAGCGAAAGCGUGGGGAGCGAACAGG